GGUUGGUUUGUUCAACUGGGUUGAAGAAGAAAAGCAACUAAAAAGGAUUUAUGAACAAACUGUGUGAUAUGGUUAUGGGUGAGCUUGAUCAGAAUCCUUUUAUCGAUGCUGGUGACUCACUUAUCUC